AUGGUGGGAAAGAACUAAAAAAGAGGGAGAAAAGAAAGGAAAGAGGAAUCGUGGGGGAGAGAGGAGAGAGACAAUAGAUUACAAAAUAAACCAACUUCUAUUCCAUAAUUCCAAAUCGUGGGAGGUCUAGCCUCUUACAUGUAUUUAUAAAAAGGGAAAAAAACAUAAAAUAGAAGUCUAACUAACCUAAGCUUCCUACUUGACUCAAACAAUUAAGUAUAAAAGAAAUAACAACUUAAAUAGAUAAAGAACCCCUUCCAUACAUAGACUCUUU